rnacentral:rRNA from 1 species
ACGGGGGGAGCAAGCGUUGUUCGGAUUUACUGGGCGUAAAGGGCGCGUAGGCGGUCAGCACAAGUCAGUUGUGAAAUCUCCGGGCUUAACUCGGAAAGGUCAACUGAUACUGUGCGACUAGAGUGCAGAAGGGGCAACUGGAAUUCUCGGUGUAGCGGUGAAAUGCGUAGAUAUCGGGAGGAACACCUGUGGCGAAAGCGGCGCACUGGACCACAACUGACGCUGAGGCGCGAAAGCUAGGGGAGCAAACAGGA